UUCUCAAACAUUAAAUUGACGUCCCAUCAGGACCAUAUUGUUUCAAGUGAACUUUUGUCAGUGUGAUAUCGUGUUUUGUUCAUUGUUUAAUUUUGAUUUUUUUGUUUUUACGAAUUUUGAUCAUUUUUCUCUUCAAUUGGUUUAUUGAAAUAGUUCAGAAGAUGAGAGUGUUAGUUCCACGGGGAGAACGUGCUCCAAUCACAAGCUCGAUGCUGGUGGAAUCUCACCACUCGAAGGGAGAUUCUGACGAUGCUGAAGGAAUUCGCGAGCAAAAUCCUAUUGCCGAAUUUUUGGAUCAAAUAGAAAAGAUGCAGCGACAAAAUGACCAAUUCAACGGCACUGUCGGAUCAGCAGAUCUCCUCUCCAAUUUUGAUGGAGACGACAAUGACUUGCUACGAAAAUUCGUUUCCGAGAUGGACGUGACACGUCCCGUAAAUGACAUUUUAGAUUUGAUGAUUUUAGAUUUACAGAAGCAGUUGCAUAAGUUCACUGUGAUUCAACAGCAGCAGUAUCGACAGAAAUUGCUGGAAAAAGAGGAGCGGGAAAUGCAAAUGCAGGCACAGAUAGCGCAAGAAGCAGCAGCCAAAGAAGCAGAACGUAUUCGAACGCAGUCAGAAAAUGUCGAAACUGAAAUUGUUUCAUCGGAUAAUCUACCACCACUUUGUGUCUCGAAUCGACCGAAUUCCCUUGACAGACUCGAGAGCAUGCAGGCACGUUCGCGACAGUGUAAUCAGAAACGCACGAUUACGCGAUCGAAUGACAAAGUUGCGGUCGAUACCGAGCAGACUCGUCAAUCGAAAAAAUUGUCGCGACCUCCAGGUCAGACUGAUCGAGUAGAUAGAUCCGAAGGUUCAUUACGGAAGAAGAAGCAGGUACGUGCAAAUAUACGCGUGAAAAGGGGUAAUGUAGCUGCUGAAAAGGAUCCCAUCGUUCGUGGAAAAUCGACAACGUACUCAUGUGCAGAGUGUGACAAAGAAUUUAAUUUCAAAUGGCUACUGAUCAGGCAUUUAAGGAUCCACAGUGGUGAGAAGCCAUUUAAGUGUGAGGAGUGUGGCAGUUCUUUCAGUCAAAAAAUCACUUUGACUGCUCACAAGAGAAUUCACACAGGUGAGAAGCCAUUUAAGUGUGGGGAGUGUGGCAGUUCUUUCUGUCAUAAAUUCACUUUGACUGCUCACAAGAGAAUUCAUACAGGUGCGAAGCCGUUCGAAUGUCGGAUUUGCAAUGUAGCUUUCAGUCAAAAGCCCAUUUUAUCUCGCCAUUUAUUGAUACACAUGAAUGAAAAGCCAUUCAGUUGUGACAUCUGCAAACAAUCAUUUCGGCUGAAGGGAGUUUUAUCGGAUCACAUGAACAUUCACAGUGGUAAUCGGCCGCAUAAAUGCAACGUAUGCCAAAAAACGUUUCGGCAAAGACAAGGUUUAUCCGAGCAUCGAAAAGUCCACGCCGCGCCGAGGAAGAAGAGUAGCCGACCGAUACACAAUUUCUGAAAGAAGUCCAAAAUUUCAGAUUUAUUCAGCGAGAAUAUUGAAACGACAUUGCGAACGAAGUAAUUUUUCGGUGAAGGAGCCGGCUUUUUGAAGAUUUUUCUUUCGUCUUGAAUUUUUUUAAACUUUGUUUUGUGUUUGUUUUUAAUGUUUAACUUGAAGUACCUAUUCGCAGACUGUGCCUAGCAGGUACAUUUGCUUUGUUAAGAACAAAAUUUCUGAAUAAAAAAGUGUUUUUACUACGUAAUU